rnacentral:lncRNA from 10 species
ACAUUCAGUCAGAGACUUUGUGAGAGACUGUUUUCCAUGGGUCUCUCACAUUUCUGGACAUCUUGCAAAUGAAGGCACUCACUGACUUUAUUUCAAAUUAUCUUUUGAAGGAUGUUUAUAUAGCAAAUGACAGAGAAAAUGUCUCUCUCUAGGGUGAAGACCAGAUAGAAUUACUGCUCAUUUUAAAAGAUUCAGGUACCCUAUGUUUAGAAUUCCUCUCUUGUACCCCACCCCAUUAUGUGUGCAGGUAUUACCCAGACUUCUUUGUAUUAUCCUGUAGAUUUGUGUCUUCCAGAACCAAUGCAAAUGCUGAUACUCUGGUUUUUGCUGUUCUGAAUAAUAAAGUCAUUAAUAU